rnacentral:rRNA from 1 species
GACGAACGCUGGCGGCGUGCUUAACACAUGCAAGUCGAACGGAAAGGCCCUGCUUUUGUGGGGUGCUCGAGUGGCGAACGGGUGAUUAACACGUUAGUAACCUGCCCUUGACUUUGGUAUAACUUCAGGAAACUGGGGCUAAUACCGGAUAGGAGCUCCUGCUGCAUGGUGGGGGUUGGAAAGUUUCGGCGGUUGGGGCUGGACUCGCGGCUUAUCAGCUUGUUGGUGGGUUAGUGGCUUACCAAGUCUUUGACGGGUAGCCGGCCUGAGAGGGUGACCGGAGACAUAGGGAUUGAGAUACGGAGCAGAGUAGUACGGGAGGCAGAAGUGGGGAAUAUCGAAAAAUGGGCGGAAGCAUGAUGCAGCCACUGAGCGUGCGGGAUGAGGGCCUGCGGGUUGUAAAGCGGGUUAGCUGGUGAUGAAGCGUGAGUGACGGUAAUGGGUAAAGAAGCACCGGCGAAAUACGUG